rnacentral:rRNA from 1 species
AUUGAACGCUGGCGGCAGGCUUAACACAUGCAAGUCGAGCGGAGAUGAGGUGCUUGCACCUUAUCUUAGCGGCGGACGGGUGAGUAAUGCUUAGGAAUCUGCCUAUUAGUGGGGGACGACAUUCCGAAAGGAAUGCUAAUACCGCAUACGUCCUACGGGAGAAAGCAGGGGAUCUUCGGACCUUGCGCUAAUAGAUGAGCCUAAGUCGGAUUAGCUAGUUGGUGGGGUAAAGGCCUACCAAGGCGACGAUCUGUAGCGGGUCUGAGAGGAUGAUCCGCCACACUAGGACUGAGACACGGCCCAGACUCCUACGGGAGGCAGCAGUGGGGAAUAUUGGACAAUGGGGGAAACCCUGAUCCAGCCAUGCCGCGUGUGUGAAGAAGGCCUUAUGGUUGUAGAGCACUUUAAGCGAGGAGGAGGCUACUGAGACUAAUACUCUUGGAUAGUGGACGUUACUCGCAGAAUAAGCACCGGCUAACUCUGUGCCAGCCGCCGCAGUAA